rnacentral:rRNA from 1 species
AGUGAACGCUGGCGGUAGGCCUAACACAUGCAAGUCGAACGGCAGCACAGUAAGAGCUUGCUCUUACGGGUGGCGAGUGGCGGACGGGUGAGGAAUACAUCGGAAUCUACUUUUUCGUGGGGGAUAACGUAGGGAAACUUACGCUAAUACCGCAUACGACCUACGGGUGAAAGCAGGGGAUCUUCGUACCUUGCGCGAUUGAAUGAGCCGAUGUCGGAUUAGCUAGUUGGCGGGGUAAAGGCCCACCAAGGCGACGAUCCGUAGCUGGUCUGAGAGGAUGAUCAGCCACACUGGAACUGAGACACGGUCCAGACUCCUACGGGAGGCAGCAGUGGGGAAUAUUGGGCAAUGGGCGCAAGCCUGAUCCAGCCAUACCGCGUGGGUGAAGAAGGCCUUCGGGUUGUAAAGCCCUUUUGUUGGGAAAGAAAAGCAGCAGGUUAAUACCCCGCUGUUCUGACGGUACCCAAAGAAUAAGCACCGGCUAACUUCGUG